AUCGAGCCUACCGGCAGCCUCCCUGCACAGCUGUGCCCCCGUGCCUCUGCCUCACCGCGCGCCCGACCAGGCCGUCGUUCGUCGCCAGCACCCGCGGAUCUGGCCGCCCCUCACCUUCCCCAUGGGCUGCACCUCACAGCGUCGCCGCCCCUGCCAAGCUCCACCGCUGGAGGAUGAAAUUCUGUCAAUGCCCACUGUCUUCAAGUAAUACUUUUUUUAGUGUCCAGGAAAAAAUCUUGGGAACAUUUGUCAUGCUAGCCACCUGACGCUCGGCAUAUCCUCUCCCUCAUGGCAUCCAGCUUUGCUGCAGGGACCAAAAGUUGGGGUCAAGAUCGAAGUCGGCUGAGCUAUUGGGUGGCUCUGAAGAUGUGUUUGUGUUAGAGAUUAGUUUACAUGCAAAACAAGCCUCAGCAUAUUUGAGACGAUGGCUGUUGCUGCACGUGAAGAGUUGGUUAAUAUGAAGAAGUUCCUGAUUAACUGACUUGAGCCAUUUGCACAGAACCGGUGCUCUCCCAUUGCAACAUACGGGCAUUUGAUGAGAGAACGGACGUAAGCACAUUGACAUAAAUAUAUGCAGGAAGGAAUUAAAGGAGAGACUACACAACUCGGGUGACAAAGAGUUGCGCCUAUGGCCGAUUAAAUAGAACUGAAAAAAGUCUGCGUCUACAGAGAGACACCUCGAGGAAAAAAGAUCGGAUGAUGAGAAAGGAAAAAGGAGAGAUUGGAUCGGGACAACGUACAACCUGGAUUCAGGUUUUAGCACACGAUGGACGAGCUGCAGGCCACGGCGGACGCUGGAGGCACAGGCCCAUCGCAGACAGGGGUAGGCCUGGGUGAAGUCGGCAAGGUGUGUGUGUGUUGCAGAUAGAUGGAGGCACUGGGACGGGGCGGCAAGGUGUGUGUGUGUUGCAGAUAGAUGGAGGCACUGGGACGGGGCGGCAAGGUCCAAGACGACGGGUCGCGAGAGCAGGUUGUGGUUGCCUGUAUAUAUAUAUGUAUUCCCCUCCGUUAACAACGGUUGGAUGAAGCUUUGGAGUACUAUAAACUUCCAGGGAAGAUCAGAAAUGUUCUUCAUCGAUGCCCAUCCCAAUUGCUAACAAUUCUUUUGCACACUCAGGUUUGUGCUUUUCUGUGGUAAUUUACUAAACAUACUUUGGGUUAUGAUCCUUUGACAUACACUUAUGCCCUCCCCUACACAUUAUUUUUAGGUUGCCAAAUAUAGUACGAAGGAACUAUAGCAAGCGAAUUGUUGAGUUUGCCAAGCAUAAUGGCAGAAGAAGCACACCUAAUUUUGGCAGAUCAUAUAAAGAGAAUAUCGAGCAAAGAUGCUUUCAGAUUUACCCAUGACAAUAUGCUGUUCCUAUAAACUCCUGUUGCAUGUUUAAUGAUUGCCACAAUAGUUUCUUUUCAUGCACCAGAGAAUUAUAUUUUUUGUAUCAGGUAAAUAAUUCUUUUCUCACUGUUAUUUUUCCAGAUCAAGAUCGAGAGAUAGACAAGGGGUAAUGGUAGCUCGUGCAGUGAUAGAGUGCUGGGGAGGCUGCCGGUGUCGUUGCCGAGUGCUGGGGAGGCUGCUAAACAAGUUUAUUUAUUUGUCGUGUGAAUUGUUCCACACUUCUGAUCAUCAUAUUGUAUGAUGAGCAGUUGGCCAUCUCUUAUUCUGUGGGGAUAUGGUCCGUUUGUAUUCUUCUAAUUGAUUCGGUUCACAAUUCUAGCCGAUGAAAUUUGGUCUACAUUUAUGUGUACGUAUGCUAUCCUAUAUACUGGAACUUGUGCUUGCCCAUUAUAUGAUUAUACUACAAGUAGACAAAUGUAAAUGUCCAUAGUAAUAAACUUGUGGUCAUAGGACUACUAGCUUAAAGUUUGUUAGAUUAUGUAAAUGGGCAUUUUUGUUGUCUGCUCUUUAGGUUUCCAUAGCAUGAGGUGGUGCUCUUGCUUUUAAAAACACAUAUAAACUGCCAUCUAUACUGAACAAUGGGGCUUCCUGUCUAAACUG